UGUAGAGCGCGGGGUAUUGUUGAGAAGCACAGAGAGGAAAGGGAAAGAGAAACUUGGGGCCGGUGAAACCAGGCUGGCAAGCAGCUCCGCGGGGCUGGCGGGGAGAGUCCAGAGUGGGAGACCAGGCGGGGCUCCAGCAAGUUCAUUCCUGUGUUACAGUGUACAAGGAUGUUAACUGACCAGGGGCAAGUCUCGCCAAGCUGCAUGGGGGCAAAAGCAGGUUUCAAAGGGAUAGGUACAGUAUGAUUCCACAGGAUUGAAAAAGCCCAGAGCACUACAUACCAACAGUAACCUGGAUUGUCUACAGUCCUACGAUUAAUUAGCUUUUUGCAAAAGAGCAAAAAAAAGUCAUAAUGAAAAUAGAAAGAAAGAAAGAAGAAACUCAAGAGUGAAACUGUAUUCAACAAAACCAGAUCCCAAAUCAAAGCAACUCUGAGAAUAAGGGAGACGUUCCGCCCUAGGGGUCUUUUUUGUCUGCAAAGAUUAUGAAAGUAGUAUAUGCACGUUCUACAACAUUUCAAAAUACCAAAUGAUCUAAAGGAGAAAGCUAACUGCCACCUUAAACAAAAAGCUCCAAUUAAACAGAUGAAGAUAAAGAUGGGCGAGGAAGAGGAAUUGUUGGAAAGACAUUUUUCAGCAGGAGAAAUGACUUCAUGGAGAGGUAAUGGGAUAGCCAUGCGAAAAUAGAAAGCUAUGACUCCGCUUCAUCAUAAUAAGGUUCCAUAAAGCUGGGACCUUAGAGAAUAAAAUCCUAAAUUAGAGAGAAAAGAAACAACUUUCUGCAUACCAAUGACCUCGUGCUCAGCUUCAGCCCCCAGAAAAAUUAAAAUUUAAGUGGACAAGUGCUGUAGUAAAUGUAAAUUCCAAAUGCCAAGAGAACACUGAGGACAGAGCGCUUACAUCCUCUGGGGUGCUGGGGGUGGAGAGAGUGGAGAGGAGUGACAUUUGAAAUGGUCUUGAAGGAGGCCAAGAAAAUAGGAUUGGAAGACCGCAACCACACAGAGGAAGUGGCCAGUGCCCAGAUUGGCAACCCUAGACAAGGAGAAAAAGCUUCAAACAUGAUCAGAAUAUCUGGGUUCGAUUUCAUCUCUGCCACUUGGCCUUGUAAGGAGAAGCAAGCUGCUCACUGUCUUGAAGUGUUUCUUUCAUCAUCCAUAACACAAGAGGGUUUUGUUCCGGCUCAAAAUGCUAUGAAAUGUGACUACAGCUCUUAUGCCCAUUCCUCAGAUAGAAUACCGUUUUUAAAAGUACACCUCUUUUCAAGGGAAUAUCGAGAGGGAAAUUCAGUGAAGCAAAAACACAUUCCCCCCCACCCCCCGCAAAAAAAAAAAAAA